rnacentral:misc_RNA from 1 species
UUUCCGUAGGUGAACCUGCGGAAGGAUCAUUAUUGAGUAAACCUGAUGUGGUUGUAGCUGGCCCUUUCGGGAGCAUGUGCACACCCGUCGUCUUUAUCUUUCCACCUGUGCACCUUUUGUAGACCUGGAUGUAACACUUUCCGAGGCAACUCGGUCGGGAGGAAUGCUGUCAGCUUUCCUUGAAUGUCCAGGCCUAUGUUUUCAUAUACCCCAAAGAAUGUAACAGAAUGUAUUAUUGGGCCUUGUGCCUAUAAACUAUAUACAACUUUCAGCAACGGAUCUCUUGGCUCUC